AUCCAGCUGACGAGUUCCAAACAGGACGAAACACACGUUACGGAU
rnacentral:hammerhead_ribozyme from 1 species